CCUACGGGUGGCAGCAGUGGGGAAUAUUGCACAAUGGGGGAAACCCUGAUGCAGCGACGCCGCGUGAGGGAAGAAGGAAUUCGUGAUGGAAAGCUCUAUCAGAAGGGGAGAAAAUGAAGGUACCUGAGUAAGAAGCCACGGCUAACUACGAGCCAGAAGCCGCGGUAAUACGUAGGGGGCAAGCGUUAACCGGAUUUACGGGGUGUAAAGGGAGCGUAGACGGGAGUGCAAGUCUGGAGUGAAAUGCGGGGGCUCAACCCCCGGACUGCUCUGGACACUGUCCGGCGGGAGUGCAGGAUAGGUAAGCGGAAUUCGUGGUGUAGCGGUGAAAUGCUUAGAUAUUACGAGGAACACCAGUGGCGAAGGCGGCUUACUGGACUGUAACUGACGUUGAGGCUCGAAAGCGCGGGGAGCGAACAGGAUUAGAUACCCUAGUAGUC
rnacentral:rRNA from 1 species